GACAGAGGUGGCAAGCGUUGCUCGGAUUCACUGGGCUUAAAGGGCGCGUAGGCGGCUUUGUAAGUCCGAGGUGGAAUUCCACAGCUUAACUGUGGAACUGCCUUUGAUACUGCAAGGCUUGAGUCAGGUAGAGGAGGGCGGAAUUCCCGGUGUAGCGGUGAAAUGCGUAGAUAUCGGGAGGAAGGCCGGUGGCGAAGGCGGCCCUCUGGGCCUGUACUGACACUGAGGCGCGAAAGCGUGGGGAGCAAACAGG
rnacentral:rRNA from 1 species